rnacentral:lncRNA from 7 species
ACCGAUUCAGAUGUAUAUGGUUCACGCCCUUCCGUGCACGUUGGGUCCCCUGGAUCAAGAACCAGCGUCGUGCUAUACAGAGAAGGAGGAAAGCUGAGAGGGGGAGAGAGAGUGUCAAUCCGCGCCACCACCGUAGACUUCAUCCUAGGCCAGCUUCCAGUCGCGGCGAACUGCCCCAGGUGUGUUCGGUGAUGCCGCAAAGCCUGUAGGCGACCGGAGGGUCGGCGAUUGCUCACCGUCGGUGGGCACUACCGCGGGUCCGUCCUUCACUGUAUACGUGCGCGUCUACGCCCAAUCUCUCUACGAGCAAGCCACUGUGGAACCUGAGCUUCAACAAGUAGAAGUAGCUGAGCAGGAGCUCAUUGCAGGAGAAGAACAGGUGGUCGAAGAGGAGCCGCCUAACACUGAGGAGUUCGAUCUGAUCUAGGUGGCGUGUCUCGGUCGACAUUGGCGCCGACGAUCCUUAGUUCGUUUUACAUUUAUUCCUUUAUUUUGUAAUAAGUCUUCCGCUAUGUAAUAAUUACUCUGAUGUUUUAUGACAUUUAUC